ACCGCUCCUUUGGCUUAGUGGUUAGAGCGCCUGCCUCAGAUACGGGAGGUGUCGGGUUGGAAGCCCGUCGAGUGAUA